CGCAUCGGACGUGCGUGCGACAAAGUUUGGGAAGAAAGAUUGAACUGGUCCUCCUGCUUGAGCGCCCUCCAGUUCUCCUCCCGGAGGAAAAUCCAAAGGGAUCGAACUCACAACUGCCUGCUUGUAAGGCAGGCACUUAUGCCGCUGAGCUAAAUCCCCAGCCCCUGGUUCUUGUGGCAGAUGGUUUGAAGUGUCCACAUCCCACCACUUCAAGCUCAACCACUGGCUGAAAAAGUUACAGCAGGCUUUAGGGACUGGUUGCUGGUUUCCCAUCCCAUCUGCAUAGCUUCAAGCAAGUGAUUGAACUUCUCUGUGCCCCAGUUCUGGAAUAUGAUGAUGCUGAUGAUUUUUUUUUUUUGAUGCUGAUGAUUCUACCAAGAAAAAACAUGCAAGUUUUGAGUCCUGAGUGAUGUUUACUUCUAGUGUAAACAUGCAAAAUCUGGCCUUAAGUGAAACUAAGAACUUAUAGAUAAAAUGAGAACACUGCAGAGUUAGGAAUGUAGCUCAAUGGUAAGAUGCUUGUUUGGCAUGCACAAGGCCCAGAGCUCCAUCUCCAGCACCACACACACACACACACACACACACACACACACACUAAAAUAACAAUAACAACAACAAAUGAAGAUGGAGAUAGGCUUGAUGGCACACACUUUGGGAGCUAAGGCAGGUGGAUUACAAGUUUGAGAGCAGCCUGGAAAACUUAGUAAGAUCAUAUCUCAAAUUUUAGAAAAGGAGGGGUGUGGUUAUAGCUGUCAUUCAGUGUGAACCCUCUGGAUUCAAACCCUAAUAUGGUAGAUAGAGAGGGACAGAGUGUGUGGGGCCAGAAGGUGAUGGUGCUUGUGAUGGGUUUUGCUCAUAUGGGACUCUGCCAGACUUAACGUGGCACCUGCCCAACAUGGCACUGAGUCCUAAAAUAACAACACACCCUUCCAAUACUAACUUCCCUGUUCUUUUUCCAAGCCACAAAUAAACUUCCUACUCUUCUCUUGCACAGGCGCCAAAGCUCCUCCAAUUCUAUCUGGACACCAUGAUCCAGUCUCUACCCCAGCCCAACUCCAUAAAAGCCAUUCCCCAGCCUUUCCUGUUAGAAGGUCCUUGCAAUCUCAUACAGCCCUCCCAUGUCGGGAACCAUUGAAGCUGGAAAUUGACCAGGUUUGUGUGCAAGGCCAGGGCAUGGCCGACCUGAGAACAAGGAGACUCCUUAAAGGGCAAGAUAGGCCACACCUGAGGACACCUAGUUCCAGCCCCAAUUAACAAGACAGAGAAUGCAUCUUCAGGCAUUUCUCUCCUGUAGUGAAAGUCAAACUGAUUUUAGGAGAAAGAGACUUUCUCCUAAAAUACUUCUCCUAAAUUAACACAACAUAGUUCUCCUAAAUGAACAUAAUCUAUUACUUGGAAAAAUUCUUAAAACCACACCAAGAUCCUGCUCAGUUUCUUGCAUUUUUCCACUCUAAUCCCUUCCUUGUUUGAAAAACUAAAUAAAUAUGGGCUGCCCAAAGACAUUCCUUGUCUUAGCCCCCAGAGUCUUGACUCUGUUAGAGGAUUUGAUCCUGCUGGAAUCCUAAAAUCAUACUACUUGUCUCACUUAUUUAAGCCUUCACCGUGUACUCAUUUGGGAGAUUGGAGAUCUUGGCCCAGUCCCCAAUACUCUCCCACUGACAGUGAAGGCUUUUUCUUAUCUCUGUAUAUCUUAACUGUAUCAAAAAACCUAACAGCUUGUAGCUCAAAUUAUUGUGUAGAACUCAUCAAUUCUGAUUGGAUAACACUUGCAUUCUUUUUAUUGAAAGACAAAGAGAUUGCUGUCUUUGUUUAAUAACAUACAAGUUUUGAAAAACUUGCCUAGCCUGCCCUGGGUUCCAUCCUUAGCAUGUAAAAAUAAUAAGAUGGUAGUUUAUCAAAAAAUAUCAAGGUUUAGAGCUAAUAUUUCUGGGCUCCCUGGAACUUCCAUAUUCAUGAGCUAUCUCAGAAUGUGAGCUUCUAUUAAAUAUAAGCUUUUUUCUGUUUGAAUUGCAAACAUAUUCUGGGCUGACAAGGUUAACAAAUCAAUGUCAGAGUUGUCUUAGUAACUACUUCAUUGGAUUGCUGGGAGGAAUAAAUUAUAAUAUGAAUCACAAUAGAAUAAUUUCUUUCUUCUUUUGAGAGAGUCUUCCUAUGUAGUUUAGGCUAGCUUUGAACUUACUCUAUAUUACAGGCAGUCUUUCAAACUCUUGGUGAGCCUCCUGCCUCAGCCUCCUAAGUACUGGAAUUACAGACAUGGGUCACUAUGGCUAGAACAAUACUUUUUAAAAACUUCCUCUGUGUGUGUGUGUGUGCUACUGAAGUGAGCCCUGUUUUUUCUUUCUUUGGGUGUUUUUGUUGUUUUUGGUUUUUUGAGACAGAAUCUUCGUAUGUAGUGCAGGCUGACCUUGAAUUCACUUAUGUAGUCCAGCCUGGCCUCGAGCCCCACAGCAAUCCUCCUGCCUGAGUCUCCUGAGUGCUGAGAUUACAGGUGUGCAUCACCACACCCAGCCUAAUAGAACGGUUUUUGACCCAUGGUAAGUAAUCAAUAAGUAAUUAUCUAUCUUUGUUAUUUCGAUAAGCACCAUCAUCAAAGCCUCAGAAAUCUCGCUUUAAAUUGUCACCCUGCCACUGGUGUGAGUUUGGACCUGUGAGCCUCAUAGAGUAUGGGGUAGGGGGAGCAUGCAAAAUGGAAAUUGAUGCCAGCUUCUUCCGACUGUAAUGAAGAUGAACAGAAUUAAAGAUGGAAAAGGGGUUGUUUUAAGAAGUAUAAGAGAUUAUUAAUUGAUUUGACAAAAUUAUUUGAUUUAAUUUGGUUAUGACUGAAUUUUUUCCUGAGAAAAUCAAGUGCAGAAUAGCUUAAUUAACUUCAGUUUAGCUAUUUUUAGUACAUUUUUAUUUAACUUUCCAAAUGUCAACAAUAUUGUGCUUCUGUACCACACAUGAACUGCUCCUGCAUACAAGUUUUCAACUUUCUUAAAAGGCAGGCACAAAACCCAAGAGUAAUUGUGUGAAUUCCAUGUGAUGUUGAUUCCUCUCAACAUCACAUGGAAUUGAUGGCGCAAUAGAGAAGCAAAAGUACAAAAUUAACAGUUUUACUGAAUUGAGCACGUGGAAAGGAGCACAUGACCCAUGGGGGCCGGGCUGUCUCCGAUCAGAUACAGAGAGGCAGAGGGUUAUAUGACUUCUCUGAUUGAAGUGGCGCAUGAGGCAGAUAAUGAUGAUGGAUGAGGAAACGAUUUUCAGUACUGGAAAACAAGCUCUUUUCAUUUUAUUUUGGACCAGCGUCUGAAUUAAGUUGCCCAGGCUGCCCUCAAUUUACGGUCCUCCUGACAUAGGAGAUUAGGGCGUGGCAAAGCUAGGAAAGUAGGUAUGACGUGCUAAUUACAAGAUCCCAAAACAUGGAGGUAGAACAGUUCCCAAAGCCCUGCACGUGGACUUCUGGGAACCGGAGCGGGUUUUUAAUGGGAUGGCCUAGACCCGACAUCAGGCUGAGGGGUGGGAUCCCAAUGCUGCCUCUCCGGACCUGUAUGUAGAGCUUCUAGAAGGUCUCCUCAGGAUUUGGACAGUAUAAAAGGACACAGACACCAAGAAGAACUUGUCAUUGUGACUCUCCUUGUGAUAGCCUGCCGUGUCCUCCGGGGUGUAUUCUUAUCUUGCUUUUCCCUCUUUAUUCUGCCCAGCUCAUAGUGCAGAGCCAGUUUCUCACUCUUCACUUUUACCUUUUCAAGUAAACAUUGCCACUGCCUGUUGUUCGUUUAGUUCAGUUCUACAUGAAGAUGAGAAGAAUUUGGAAUCUACCUCCAGAAAAAGAGGUGACAAAUCCAGAACGUGCCAAGUUUUAUUUGGUGAGCCACUUUCAGAAGGAGUUACUUGCUAACACUCCUGUCUCAGCCUUUCAAGUAUCUGGCAUUGUCACCAGGAGGGGGUUCCAUUGUUCCUAGGUGGAGGGCGAAAGAGUUUUCGAAAAGAGGACAUGGAGGCUUCAAUUUAUGCUAAAAAAACAUUUCUCGAUGUGUCAAUAUUCUUUGUUUGUUUGUUUGUUUUUUGUCUUUUUCCUUUUUAUCGGUACCGGGGAUCGAACUCACGACUGCCUGCUUGCAAGGCAGGCGCUUAUGCCGCUGAGCUAAAUCCCCAGCCCAGGAUGUGUCAAUAUUCUUUUUUUUUUUUUUUUUUUUUGUCUUUUUUUUGUCUUUUUGAGACAGGGUCUCUCUACACAGUUCAGGCUGGCCUUGAGCUCACUUUGUAGCCUAGGCUGGUCUUGAACUCACAACAAUCCUCCUGCCUCAGCCUCCUGAGUGCUGGGAUUACAGGCGUGAGCCACCAACGCCCGGCUAGGGUGUGUCAGUGUAAGGCAUAGGCAGGUUUAUUAGGUAGAGUUCAAAUGUAAGAGAAAAUGGAGAAAAACUUCAGCCUGAGGAGCUGACAAGGUAUGGUAUGGCUCUGAUGAAAAGGGUCAGACGGGCCUCUUAGCAGAAGAAGGAGACCAGUUUUUACAGAGUUGAGGGGUUGACUAGAGCCUAGCUGAUCAUUAUCUCAGUUCUGUUUUUCCAGAUGACUUGGAAGAAGUCUUUAUUGCUUGAGGGACAAUUCAAUCUCAUGAGAUAAUUAUUUCUGUUCGAGGCAGUCUCAGACAGGUGUAGGCACUGAUGGAAUUCAGAACGACCCUAGGUUUAGGGCACUGACUGUAGACUUCUCUCGGUGCUCAAUGGUAGGUGAAUGUCCCUAUAAAUCUCUUGGUGUCCUCAGUCUUGUAAGGGGAAUGAGAUAGGUUAUGUAAUCUCAGGGAUAAUCAACCUGGUUUUGCCAUCCCUAAAUGAUUAACAUGCCUAUGUGCAGAGAAGUUAUGUUACUCCAAGUUUUCAGGUCAUAGACAAUCCUGAAUGAAUGUUGAGAUUUAUUCUGUUUUUAGUUUGUUAUUGAGACUUUGUAGACCCGGUAGGGACAGGUGGUCACAGGCAGGAAAAAGGAUGAAAUAAAAUCUCAUUAAGCUUGAUUAAAGAAGUUAACAGGAACCCUACUAACGGAAAUUUUGCCCUGUAGCUAUACUUCAGCAAUUAGAAAGAAGUGUAAAGACAAAGAAACCAGGCUCCUGAAGGCACCAGGUAAUACAAUUCACAUAAGAAUUUAGAGUAAACAGGCUAAACAGGGAUAUAGCCAGAAACAUGAAAGGCCUGGAUAACCACCCCCUUCCCUCAAUAAAAUGCAAAGGAGAUAAGGAACCUUGUUUAACAUAUAAAACACACAUUUUCCCUUUACUUAAUCAUUAAUUCUAAGUUACCUUUUUAUAAGGCUCCGUCAUACACUUAUCCAUCACAAAGUGACAGUGAGAAAUCAAAUAGCCAUAAAGAAUAUAGAUAGAUUUUUAAUUUUUUAAAAAAACUUCAACACCUCAGAACUUGUGUCUGUUUUAAAACUAUUGUUUGAGGGGCUGGGGAUUUAGCUCAGCAGCAUAAGCACCUGCCUUGCAAGCAGGCGGUUGUGAGUUCGAUCCCUGGUACCAAUAAAAAGGAAAAAGACAAAAAAACAAAAAACUAUUGUUUGAGAGACAGACACCAGCUUCUCCCUGUGAGUCAGAGCCAUUUGCAGAUCAGGAAAAGACAGAAUAAAGCCAUACCAGCAAGCAAGCCCAGUCUGGGAAUCUGCGCCAUGCAUGGGCCACCACUGGACUGGAACAGACAGACCCCAUUCCCUUCUGGUGUACGGGCUGGCAAACAAGAAGUACCAACACCCGCUACUCCCCGGCCAUAAGCGGUAGGCUUAUCUGGAGAAACACACGCUGUGAUGAUAGCUAUAGAGGUGAAAUGCAAUUGGAUGUCUGUGGUGCUUUGGUGUUUCACUGACAUUGCAGGUCAAGGGCCAGUGGUUUGAUCACAUGUUUAGAGGAUAGCAAUGCGCAGUGUGACAUCUAGGGGGGGAUCCCCUUCUGAGGGUUGCAGCCAUUGUUGAUUACCUAUGGUCUUGUUUUGGAAGUCCUAUAUCAUUUCCAUUGUUUUUUGGGUAGAUUUUAUUCUUUUUUUUGAGUAUGUCAAAUUGGAUGGCAGGGGCUGCUAUUUCAAAGAUAACAAGAUAUAUUAAGGUACAAUUUUAGAUUUACUGUAGGCUUGCUUUGAAGUCUUUAUUGCAUACAUUGUUUUGCUUUUAUUAUUUCUAUUCUGUUCUGUUUGAUUUUUACUAUGUCCAAAGUUAUCUGCAGCUAUUUUGAAGGCAUCAAAAGGUAUUAUGGUAACUAGUUGAUUUUGUAAUGUUUGAAAGUCCUCUGUCUCUUAUACUGGUUUGUUUUGGUUUUAUUCUGUUUUAUCCUCUUUAAAAUAAAAAUUAAAAAUACUA